UUUUGAUUUGCUAAGAAGAACUGUUCCUAUGGUAACUGGUGGAUAAAAUGGGACUUCUAGUAUAAAACGUCUGACAAAUCUUUUCAUUGGAUGCUCCCCUGAAAUGGGGAGGGGGGGGUGUCAAAUAAGCGGCCAGGGGACCGUUUCAUCAACAUUUUUGUCCGACAAGUGGUUAGAUCUGACAUAUUUCCUUGAGUCUUAUUGGCUGAGAAGCACUGUCACCAUAGUAACUGUCAGAUAAAACAGGACUUGUUGGAUAAAACAUACAAGUCCUUACAUGAAACGCUCCCCACAGCUCUAUAAGGGUUAAGCCCAUGUGCCAAUAUACAUUACUACAGUAUGGUGCAUGAUGUGGAAGUAUCCAAUAUAUCAGCAUUUUUAUUUUUGUAGACUCGUAAAAGAAUGUAAAAUGCCAGAUAAGCAGCUUGUGUACAAGGAUACAUUUAUGCACAUCAUAGUGUCAAAUCAGUGUUGACAAGUGAUUUAACAAUGUACACAACGGUGUAUACUUAAUGCCAGACUUGUAUCAAGUUAUGGCUGAUAGCUGGUGCUAAGAUUGCCUCAAUAUCAAACUUAUCCAGUGUAAAUCACUUCUAGACCUCUUUAUGCAGGCACCUAUACACCUAUAGUCGAUGCAUGUUUAUAUUUGUUUUGUGUUGAAUGUUGUAAGCUUUUUAUUUAAAUCUGCAAUAGAAUGCAA